AAUCAACGCUGGCGGCGUGCCUAACACAUGCAAGUCGAGCGGUAAGGCCCUUUCGGGGGUACACGAGCGGCGAACGGGUGAGUAACACGUGGGUGACCUGCCCUCAGCUCUGGGAUAAGCCUGGGAAACCGGGUCUAAUACCGGAUAUGACUCCAUGACGCAUGUUGUGGGGUGGAAAGCCUUGUGCGGCUGAGGAUGGGCCCGCGGCCUAUCAGCUUGUUGGUGGGGGAUGGCCUACCAAGGCGACGACGGGUAGCCGGCCUGAGAGGGCGACCGGCCACACUGGGACUGAGACACGGCCCAGACUCCUACGGGAGGCAGCAGUGGGGAAUCUUGCGCAAUGGGCGAAAGCCUGACGCAGCGACGCCGCGUGA
rnacentral:rRNA from 1 species